AAAUGCGAUAAGUAAUGUGAAUUGCAGAAUUCAGUGAAUCAUCGAAUCUUUGAACGCACCUUGCGCUCCUUGGUAUUCCUUGGAGCAUGCCUGUUUGAGUAUCAUGAAAUCUUCAAAGUAAAUCUUUUGUUAACUCAAUUGGUUUCUACUUUGGUAUUGGAGGUCUUUGCAGCUUCACACCUGCUCCUCUUUGUUCAUUAGCUGGAUCUCAGUGUUAUGCUUGGUUCCACUCGGCGUGAUAAGUUAUCUAUCGCUGAGGACACUGUAAAAGGUGGCCAAGGUAAAUGCAGAUUAACCGCUUCUAAUAGUCCAUUGACUUGGACAAUACUUUUAUGAUCUGAUCUCAAAUCAGGUAGGACUACCCGCUGAACUUAAGC
rnacentral:misc_RNA from 1 species